GCCGGGAUGGCGGAACUGGUAGACGCACGGGACUCAAAAUCCCGCGCUAGCAAUAGCGUGCCGGUUCGAUUCCGGCUCCCGGCACCA
rnacentral:tRNA from 9 species